rnacentral:rRNA from 1 species
AUGCAAUUUCAAGCAAAGGAAUGCUGCUCCUGCACAUGUAUGCACGAGGUGAAAUGGUGUGCUUGUUCUUCUCAGCAAAGCAAUGCUGCUCUCAUCUCAUUCGGCUUGCUUCAAGUCCACAUAAAUAUCCCGGCGCCUGCUAACUGGAGCUCGCCGAAUGUGCCAAGAUAUCUGAAAUCAUUCUUCCUUCACUACAUACAGAGUCAUAAUAAUCCUAGAAGAUUUGUAAGCACUUGCUGUUGGCUUUACAAGACGAUGAGAAGGUGUUGUUCGGCAAAUGGCGCUCUGCUCAUCUCCCCUGCUUUUCAGUCAUGCAAAUCUGAUGGAUGCUGGAAACAGAGAAGGAAGAAGGACAAACAGAUCCAACACAAAAAUUAA